CACCGCGGUUAUACGAGAGGCCCAAGCUGAUAGAAAACGGCGUAAAGAGUGGUUAAGUAGUCCUAACACUAAAGCUAAACAUUUUCCUAGCUGUUAUACGCAUUUGAAAAUAUGAGAAUCUUCCACGAAAGUGGCUUUACUCUUCUGACUCCACGAAAGUUAUGAAA
rnacentral:rRNA from 1 species